GAAGAUGGGUUUCUCAAGAACUUAUAAUCCAAGAUUUUCUCUUAAAUCUUCAAAAACUCGCUGAACAUCAUCAACCAUAUCAGAAUGGUGAAAAUUAGUAUCAUUAAUUGUAUGAAUACCUGGUGAAUACAUUAUUUAAAUAUUCUCAAGGGAUGGUUGGAUUUGGAUUGAGAAGAAAAGUGUUUGCGAGAAACAGAUUCUACUUCGAACAUCAUUUUUGGUUUUCCAUUAGAAUUGACAGUGUAAUUAAAGAAACAAAAAAUGGUAGAAUUUUGACAAUUUUGAGAGCGUAGGAUAAGAGGAGGUGAGUGUAGUUUAGGUGAGGUUUACUAUAGUUACACUAUGGUUUAAAGUCUAGUUUGGAUGUCUUACAUCCACUCAUUUAGUCAACACACAACUAAAUAUAAAGCUUACACUCUCACUGUAUUGUCUCACUAUUCUGCUGCAAUCCAUUUGCAAACCUUUUGUAAUCAGCUUGCAAGCAUACUAACAUCAUAUUACUCAAAAAUAUCCUUACUAUUGCUCAUCUUCAAUCCACCUCAUAAAACCCUUAGCCAAACUCAUCAUCGCCAACGCAUCCUAAAACAGCAAGGUAAUCAGCAUCACCGUCAGUAAUCAGCAUAACCACGACAAGCUGACUCCAAGCUAAGAGUCGCAUAGUAAAGAGGAUCUUCCAACAGGCUCGGUUGAUAGCUCUUUGCGUAUGGUGACCCAAAGAUCAAGUCAGGUACCACGUAACAAUCGAGAGGAAAUACUGUUAUCCCCAAUCUCGGCAAAAAUCUUUCACUUAACAAGACUUUGACCUGCGGAGGAAAAGUGAUACUGCAAGCCAGAAAUAAAAUAAGACGGGAAACAUAAAGAAUUGAUUCAAGGGCUCAACAACAGAAAGAAGAGACAUAUCAUGAACUUCCAUGAAAGCCGUAAAACUAGAAGAACAUGAGAGGAA